rnacentral:lncRNA from 1 species
AGUCUCCUUAGCUCUCUUCCCUUUGUCAGAAUAAAGCUGAUCUUGAAAAAGCUAGAAUCUUUACUGCGCUCAGAGCCUUCUCUGAAGUGAAGUUCUAACUUUUAGGGGGAGGAGAAACCCUUGCCAAAUGACUCCUGGUGAUCCCAUCUUAUAUUUUCACAGCAUCCCUAUCAGAAAGGUCUCCCUUAUAGAAAUCCUAGACUAUCCUUGACACAGUAAAGGCCAUCGCCACUCGUGCCCUCCACAUGGAGAGAGAUAAUUAGAACAAGGCAUGAAUAGACAUAUCAUACAUACUCAGUUCAGAAAGGUUUUUUUUUUUUUUAAUGAAGCAGAGAAGGAAAAACAGAAAUCUGGGUGGGACUAUCAGGUCUCAUUUCAAAUCCCUCCAUGUUCCCUGCAUGCAUCCAACUUCAUCUAUAAAUGCAAAACUAGAAAAAGAGAGAAAGGGUGGACAGAAAGAAGUGGUCACUGUGCCUGUUCCCCAUCACUGAAACCACAGGUGAGGGAUUGCAAUUAAUUCCAGAGUAUCCAAUCCAUGACUUAAAACCUUUCUUCUCAUGGUAACUUGUAUCCUUGUCGAUAAUUAGAACAGACAGGAAGACUUGGCUCUGGUGUGCUUGCAGCUGGAUCCUGCUGGGAAGAGAGGGAAAUGUGACUAUUUUUUAAGAUGCAUAAAAUUCCUUCUGUCGUCUGUUGUAAAACCUCCCACUGCAGAGAGAUAUGAGACAGUGUGGCAAAGCCCAUAUAUGGAAAGAGACACAAGCUGGAAGGGCCCCACUCAAUGUCCCUGGCAUAUCUUCAUUUACUUUCCCACUGCAGGGCUUUUAGAUCUUCCUUGUAGGAAUCCUAAGAGAACCAAAUAGAUAUGAAUUAAAGGCAGCCUGGAGCUUAUGGGUGUUUCGAAAUAAUAAAUUCAAUAAGUGGCAAGCAGGAGAGGAAACAGUUAAAAAGCAGAAACAGGCUUUUUGGUGAAACUUGAGAGGACUGAAUUAGGAGGUGGGUAUCAGAGAACUACAGUUGCUAUCCUAGGGUCUCCACCAAGGACAGUGUCUUCUCACGAAGAGACGUGUGGCCAGCCCUGUGUUGAACCAGCUUCUCUUCUGCGAGCAGAGAGCAUAGUACAGAGUCUUAGGUAUGUGGAGGACAUAUCCAACAUCAUGCUUUUUAUCUGACCUUAGCAGCAUAGAAUCACACCAGGUGGGUGUGGAGAGAGGCUGUUACCAACUGCUCUGAGGUUCAAUGUGGGGCUGUUAUAAAUGUCUCAAAUGUGAAAGGUAUCCUCUGGCAAAGUCUGGUUCUAUUGAGCAGAGUCCAGGUUGUACCAAUAUUACUCAUGUUGCUGUUGUUUUUGUUGUUGUUGUUGAUGAUGAUGAUGAUGAUAUUGUUGUUAAGUUUCCCCAAACCCAGGAGUACGAGUGCCAACACUGAGAAGUUGACAUUUUAGCUCAGGAUCCAAUUGGCUGAAAUAUGCCAGAGGGGUCUGAAAGGCCAAGGGUGUCUCCAGAGCAUGGCCUUUGUUGUUAGCUCUCUGGCAGUUGUCAUUUCAGCAAAAUGCAUCCACUUAGAAAGGUCAGCUCUUCAUUAGCCAGACAAAUGAGAACAACAUAUUGACCAGAGGGAAGGUGCAGGGAGUCCAGAUCUCGGCUCUGGCGAGCCUGGCAUUUCUAGCCCUUCAAUCACAGGGUGCUGGUGAAGCUAUGCUGUCUGCGAGAAGGUAGAUCGAUGAAGCCUGAGGACCUGGUGUCACCAGGCUAGCUUGGAGAUGGAAAUGAGAUACGGAUGGAGGAUAAGGGUGGGGGGAUCAUAAAGAUGGGAGGAGACCAGGGAGCUCCAUGGCACCUUUUAAAACCUGCAGUGUGUCAGAGGUUCUAAUGACACCAAGGAGAACUGCAGGCACCCAGCAGGUGUCCUGUUAUUCCCAACGGAGUCUGUUCAAAAUGUUUCCCCUGCUCAGAUCUCAUAGGCUGAACAGGACCUGAGAUGCCGUUUGAAAUUGUAUCACAGAAACCUGGGAUCUUUGCUUUGUAAGUCACCUGCCAGUUUUUUGUAAAGGGUUGAUUUGCUGUGUAGCAUCCUCCUCCUUCAGCAAGCUGGUGUUUGGGCAGGGGACAUCCUUAUCAGUCGUUCCAAGUAAGUUCGCAGGCUGCCUGUGGGGCAGUGGUUCUCAACCUUGCUACUACUAGGGUCCUUUAAUGCAGUUCUUCAUGUCGUGGUGACCCCCAAACCACAACAUUGUUUUCGUUGCUACUUCAUAACUGUAAUGCUGCUACUGUUGUGGAUCACAAUGUAAAUCUGAUGUGCAGGCUGUCUGAUAUGUGACCCCUGUGAAAGGGUCCUUAGAUCCCCAAAGGGGUCGGGACCCACAGGUUGAGAGCCACUGCUGUGGAGUACGGUGCGAUUCAUAACCAUGAGCAUGGAGCCCAGUGGCAGGGUUGGCGAGAACAUAAAGCUGAGGAAACUGAGGUCUAUUAACUUUCACUGGAAAAAGAGGUCAACGAAUAGCAAACACGGGUUUGGUCCUUAAAUAGUGCCGUGGAGGGUAUGGGCCUUGAGAGUGGAAAUGAAAAGGCCUUAUCUGAGGUCUACUACCACCUUCUCACCAUAAAUGGGAGCUGAGCAAGAUGGAGAGAAUGACAGACAUGGAAGGGCUGAGGUGUCUGAGAAAUGAGGCAGGGUGAGGGACAGCAGCGUGGUCCUAGCUUCAGUCUGGAUUAGCCUAGGGAGAAUGAGUUGUUCUAGAAGUUUAAUAAAGAAAUAAAAUCCUCCCCAGAGUCAAGAGACUUCAUAAGGAAUCCUAGGUUUAAAAUGUGUUUCAGAGUCAUAUAUGCUCAACAUAUGGAGAGAGAAGAAGCCUUAAGAAUAAAAGGAGAAUUUAAAUACCCAAGCAUAAAACAAAUGGCCUACACUUAAAUUAGACAGCAAGCCACAGCAAAGGCUUGUGAGCUGUCCUUCUAAUCCCCUCCCAAAAGGAAGCCACCUUCCGACAGCACGGGGUCACAGGUGCUUUAAGACCUGGAACUUUCUCCCUCUAAUACUCUUGUCAAGUGUCCUUACAGGGAAAGUGACAACCAGGCUGUCACUCCCCACUUGCCCACAUGGGGGGCCCAGGUGUAGAUUCUAGCUCUGUCUUCUGCUGGUUUUUGUUGAGGUUAUUGUCACAGUGGAACACGGGUUACCAGAACUUCUAUUUUGGGAAAGGAACAAGUUUGACUGUCAUUCCAAGUAAGU